rnacentral:rRNA from 1 species
GACGGAGGAUGCAAGGGUUAUCCGGAAUCACUGGGCGUAAAGCGUCUGUAGGUGGUCAAAUAAGUCAACUGUUAAAUCUUGAGGCUCAACCUCAAAACCGCAGUCGAAACUAUUAGACUAGAGUAUAGUAGGGGUAAAGGGAAUUUCCAGUGGAGCGGUGAAAUGCGUAGAGAUUGGAAAGAACACCGAUGGCGAAGGCACUUUACUGGGCUAUGACUAACACUCAGAGACGAAAGCUAGGGUAGCAAAUGGG